CCUACGGGAGGCAGCAGUAGGGAAUCUUCCGCAAUGGACGAAAGUCUGACGGAGCAACGCCGCGUGAGUGAUGAAGGUUUUCGGAUCGUAAAACUCUGUUGUUAGGGAAGAACAAGUACCGUUCGAAUAGGGCGGUGCCAUGACGGUACCUAACCAGAAAGCCCCGGCUAACUACGUGCCAGCAGCCGCGGUAAU
rnacentral:rRNA from 1 species